AAAAACAUGUCUAUUUGAAGAGAUAAAUAGUCUGGCCUGCCCACUGAUUAAAUAGUUUAAGGGCCGCGGUAUUUUAACUGUGCAAAGGUAGCGUAAUCAUUAGGUUUUUAAUUAAGAUCUUGUAUGAAUGGUUGGACAAAAGUAAAACUGUCUCUGUGUUAAUUUUGAAUUUAACUUUUGAGUGAAAAGGCUUAAAUAUUUUAGAGGGACGAUAAGACCCUAUAAAACUUUAUGUUGUAAUUGUAUUUAAUUGAAUUUAUAAAUAAAAAUUUAAUUUUAUUGUGCAUUGUGUUGGGGAGACAAAGGUAAAAAGAUUUUUAACUGCUUUAUAUUUAAACAAAUAUUUAUGAAUAUUUAAAAGAUCCUUUUUUAAGAGUAAAAGAUUAAGUUACUUUAGGGAUAACAGCGUUAUUUUUUUUGAGAGUUCUUAUCGAAAAAAGAGUUUGCGACCUCGAUGUUGAAUUAAAAUAUCUCUGUAGUGCAGAAGUUAUAGGAGAAGGUCUGUUCGACCUUUAAAUUUUUA
rnacentral:rRNA from 1 species